GAUGAACGCUGGCGGCGUGCCUAAUACAUGCAAGUCGAGCGAACGGACGAGAAGCUUGCUUCUCUGAUGUUAGCGGCGGACGGGUGAGUAACACGUGGAUAACCUACCUAUAAGACUGGGAUAACUUCGGGAAACCGGAGCUAAUACCGGAUAAUAUUUUGAACCGCAUGGUUCAAAAGUGAAAGACGGUCUUGCUGUCACUUAUAGAUGGAUCCGCGCUGCAUUAGCUAGUUGGUAAGGUAACGGCUUACCAAGGCAACGAUGCAUAGCCGACCUGAGAGGGUGAUCGGCCACACUGGAACUGAGACACGGUCCAGACUCCUACGGGAGGCAGCAGUAGGGAAUCUUCCGCAAUGGGCGAAAGCCUGACGGAGCAACGCCGCGUGAGUGAUGAAGGUCUUCGGAUCGUAAAACUCUGUUAUUAGGGAAGAACAUAUGUGUAAGUAACUGUGCACAUCUUGACGGUACCUAAUCAGAAAGCCACGGCUAACUACGUGCCAGCAGCCGCGGUAAUACGUAGGUGGCAAGCGUUAUCCGGAAUUAUUGGGCGUUAAGCGCGCGUAGGCGGUUUUUUAGUCUGAUGUGAAAGCCCACGGCUCAACCGUGGAGGGUCAUUGGAAACUGGAAAACUUGAGUGCAGAAGAGGAAAGUGGAAUUCCAUGUGUAGCGGUGAAAUGCGCAGAGAUAUGGAGGAACACCAGUGGCGAAGGCGACUUUCUGGUCUGUAACUGACGCUGAUGUGCGAAAGCGUGGGGAUCAAACAGGAUUAGAUACCCUGGUAGUCCACGCCGUAAACGAUGAGUGCUAAGUGUUAGGGGGUUUCCGCCCCUUAGUGCUGCAGCUAACGCAUUAAGCACUCCGCCUGGGGAGUACGACCGCAAGGUUGAAACUCAAAGGAAUUGACGGGGACCCGCACAAGCGGUGGAGCAUGUGGUUUAAUUCGAAGCAACGCGAAGAACCUUACCAAAUCUUGACAUCCUUUGACAACUCUAGAGAUAGAGCCUUCCCCUUCGGGGGACAAAGUGACAGGUGGUGCAUGGUUGUCGUCAGCUCGUGUCGUGAGAUGUUGGGUUAAGUCCCGCAACGAGCGCAACCCUUAAGCUUAGUUGCCAUCAUUAAGUUGGGCACUCUAAGUUGACUGCCGGUGACAAACCGGAGGAAGGUGGGGAUGACGUCAAAUCAUCAUGCCCCUUAUGAUUUGGGCUACACACGUGCUACAAUGGACAAUACAAAGGGUAGCGAAACCGCGAGGUCAAGCAAAUCCCAUAAAGUUGUUCUCAGUUCGGAUUGUAGUCUGCAACUCGACUAUAUGAAGCUGGAAUCGCUAGUAAUCGUAGAUCAGCAUGCUACGGUGAAUACGUUCCCGGGUCU
rnacentral:rRNA from 1 species